GAUGAAGAACGUAGCGAAAUGCGAUAAGUAAUGUGAAUUGCAGAAUUCAGUGAAUCAUCGAAUCUUUGAACGCACCUUGCACCCUUUGGCAUUCCGAAGGGUAUGCUCGUUUGAGUGUCAUUGUACUCUCACACUUCUGAUCCUUUGGAUUGGGAGCGGUGGACUUGGGUGUUGCUGCUUUACUGUGGCUCACCUCAAAUGCAUUCGUGCAACUCUUGGUUGGACAUAGUACGGCGUGAUAAGUAUCUUCGCCGGCACCUCGCAAGAGGGUGGCUGAUCAGGAGCUCUGUGCUUUCCAACUGUCUUCAGACAACAACUGACAACUUGACCUCAAAUCGAGUAGGACCACCCGCUGAACUUAAGCAUAUAAUAAGCGGAGGA
rnacentral:misc_RNA from 1 species